AGUGAACGCUGGCGGUAGGCCUAACACAUGCAAGUCGAACGGCAGCACAGUAAGAGCUUGCUCUUACGGGUGGCGAGUGGCGGACGGGUGGGGAAUACAUCGGAAUCUACUUUUUCGUGGGGGAUAACGUAGGGAAACUUACGCUAAUACCGCAUACGACCUACGGGUGAAAGCAGGGGAUCUUCGGACCUUGCGCGAUUGAAUGAGCCGAUGUCGGAUUAGCUAGUUGGCGGGGUAAAGGCCCACCAAGGCGACGAUCCGUAGCUGGUCUGAGAGGAUGAUCAGCCACACUGGAACUGAGACACGGUCCAGACUCCUACGGGAGGCAGCAGUGGGGAAUAUUGGACAAUGGGCGCAAGCCUGAUCCAGCCAUACCGCGUGGGUGAAGAAGGCCUUCGGGUUGUAGAGCCCUUUUGUUGGGAAAGAAAAGCAGCAGGUUAAUACCCCGCUGUUCUGACGGUACCCAAAGAAUAAGCACCGGCUAACUUCGUG
rnacentral:rRNA from 1 species